UCCCCUGUAGUUCAGACGGUAGAACGGCGGACUGUUAAUCCGUAUGUCACUGGUUCAAGUCCAGUCAGGGGAGCCA
rnacentral:tRNA from 1 species